rnacentral:rRNA from 1 species
UACGGAGGGGGCAAGCGUUGUUCGGAAUCAUUGGGCGUAAAGGGCGUGUAGGCGGUCGAUCAAGUCGGAGGUGAAAUCCCUCGGCUCAACUGAGGAAUUGCCUUCGAUACUGUUCGGCUUGAGUCCUGGAGAGGGUAGCGGAAUUCCCGGUGUAGCGGUGAAAUGCGUAGAGACCGGGAAGAACACCAGUGGCGAAGGCGGCUACCUGGACAGGUACGUGACGCUAACAGCGCGAAAGCUAGGGGAGCAAACAGG